CGCUGGUCGCAUGCUUUACACAUGCAAGUCGAGCGGCAGCGCGGGGGCAACCCUGGCGGCGAGCGCCCAACGGGUGAGAUAACACAUCGGAACGUGUCCUCUGGUGGGGGAUAACCUGGCUAAACCAUGCUAAUACCGCAUGAGCUCGGGAGAGGAAAGCCGGGGAUCGCACGACCUCGCGCGAGAGGAGCGGCCGAUGUCCCAUUAGCUAGUUGGCGGGGUAAAGGCCCACCAAGGCGACGAUCCGUAGCUGGUCUGAGAGGAUGAUCAGCCCCACUGGGACUGAGACACCGCCCUUUU
rnacentral:sRNA from 1 species